rnacentral:rRNA from 1 species
UAAGGAAUAUUGGACAAUGGGGGCAACCCUGAUCCAGCCAUGCCGCGUGUGUGAAGAAGGCCCUCGGGUUGUAAAGCACUUUCAGCGAGGAAGAACGCCUAGCGGUUAAUACCCGCUAGGAAAGACAUCACUCGCAGAAGAAGCACCGGCUAACUCCGUGCCAGCAGCCGCGGUAAUACGGAGGGUGCAAGCGUUAAUCGGAAUUACUGGGCGUAAAGCGCGCGUAGGUGGCUUGAUAAGCCGGUUGUGAAAGCCCCGGGCUCAACCUGGGAACGGCAUCCGGAACUGUCAAGCUAGAGUGCAGGAGAGGAAGGUAGAAUUCCCGGUGUAGCGGUGAAAUGCGUAGAGAUCGGGAGGAAUACCAGUGGCGAAGGCGGCCUUCUGGACUGACACUGACACUGAGGUGCGAAAGCGUGGGUAGCAAACAGGAUUAGAUACCCACGUAGUCCCUGAGCGGGCUGGCAAGGCGCAU